rnacentral:rRNA from 1 species
AUAAUGACUCUCGGCAACGGAUAUCUCGGCUCUCGCAUCGAUGAAGAACGUAGCGAAAUGCGAUACUUGGUGUGAAUUGCAGAAUCCCGUGAACCAUCGAGUCUUUGAACGCAAGUUGCGCCCCAAGCCUUCUGGCCGAGGGCACGUCUGCCUGGGCGUCACGCA